rnacentral:rRNA from 1 species
CCUACGGGGCGCAGCAGUGGGGAAUAUUGCACAAUGGGGGGAACCCUGAUGCAGCGACGCCGCGUGAGUGAAGAAGUAUUUCGGUAUGUAAAGCUCUAUCAGCAGGGAAGAAGAUGACGGUACCUGACUGAGAAGCCCCGGCUAACUACGUGCCAGCAGCCGCGGUAAUACGUAGGGGGCAAGCGUUAUCCGGAUUUACUGGGUGUAAGGGUGCGUAGACGGGAAUACAAGUUGGUUGUGAAAGCCCUCGGCUUAACUGAGGAACUGCAACCAAAACUAUAUUUCUUGAGUAUCGGAGAGGAAAG